GUUUUUGAAAUAUUAUCUCCAAAUCUAUUAAUAUUUCGAUUUAUAAAAAAUAAAAAAAAUCAGUUAAGUGAAAUCUAUAUUUUCAAAUACAAGAAACUUAAAAAAUUAAAAAAAUAUAUUUUUUUUUCUUUUAAAAUCUAAAUAUCCGAACCGAUUCAAAAUAACUGAACUCAAACUAAAAAUACCCGAAUCCGAUCCAAAGUACAAAAAUACCCGAACGGGGUCUCUAUCCUUAUACCGAAAUACCCAAAAAUCCAAAAUACCCGAUCCGAACCCGAACAGGUUACC
rnacentral:lncRNA from 1 species